rnacentral:rRNA from 1 species
AUACGUAGGGGGCGAGCGUUGUCCGGAAUGAUUGGGCGUAAAGGGCGCGUAGGCGGCCCGGUAAGUCUGGAGUGAAAGUCCUGUUUUUAAGAUGGGAAUUGCUUUGGAUACUGUCGGGCUUGAGUGCAGGAGAGGUAAGUGGAAUUCCCAGUGUAGCGGUGAAAUGCGUAGAGAUUGGGAGGAACACCAGUGGCGAAGGCGACUUACUGGACUGUAACUGACGCUGAGGCGCGAAAGUGUGGGGAGCAAACAGGAUUAGAUACCCUGGUAGUCCACACUGUAAACGAUGAAUGCUAGGUGUAGGGGGUAUCGACCCCUUCUGUGCCGCAGUCAACACAAUAAGCAUUCCGCCUGGGGAGUACGGCCGCAAGGUUGAAACUUAAAGGAAUUGACGG